rnacentral:rRNA from 1 species
GAACCUGCGGAGGGAUCAUUACCGAGUCUAACAACUCAUCAACCCUGUGACAUACCUAAACGUUGCUUCGGCGGGAACAGACGGCCCCGUAACACGGGCCGCCCCCGCCAGAGGACCCCCUAACUCUGUAUCUAUAAUGUUUUUUCUGAGUAAACAAGCAAAUAAAUUAAAACUUUCAACAACGGAUCUCUUGGCUCUGGCAUCGAUGAAGAACGCAGCGAAAUGCGAUAAGUAAUGUGAAUUGCAGAAUUCAGUGAAUCAUCGAAUCUUUGAACGCACAUUGCGCCCGCCAGUAUUCUGGCGGGCAUGCCUGUUCGAGCGUCAUUACAACCCUCAGGCCCCCGGGCCUGGCGUUGGGGAUCGGCGGAGCCCCCUGCGGGCAUACGCCGUCCCCCAAAUACAGUGGCGGUCCCGCCGCAGCUUCCAUUGCGUAGUAGCUAACACCUCGCAACUGGAGAGCGGCGCGGCCACGCCGUAAAACACCCAACUUCUGAAUGUUGACCUCGAAUCAGGUAGGAAUACCCGCUGAACUUAAGCAUAUCAAUAA